rnacentral:misc_RNA from 1 species
UCUCCGUAGGUGAACCUGCGGAGGGAUCAUUACAGAGUUCAUGCCCUACCGGGUAGAUCUCCCACCCUAUGUUAUUAUUACUUUGUUGCUUUGGCGGGCCGUUAGGCUCCGGCCCGACUACCGGCCCCGGCUGGUAAGCGCCCGCCAGAGGACCCAAAACCCUGAAUAUUAGUGUCGUCCGAGAACUAUAUAAUAGUUAAAACUUUCAACAACGGAUCUCUUGGUUCUG